rnacentral:misc_RNA from 1 species
GGGAGUAAAAGUCGUAACAAGGUUUCCGUAGGUGAACCCGCGGAAGGAUCAUUAACGAGUUAGGGUCUUCCAGGCCCGACCUCCCAACCCUAUGUUUAUUGAACCUCUGUUGCUUCGGCGGACCCGCCUCACGGCCGCCGGAGGACCGCUGCAAGGCGUCCUCUGGCCAGCGUCCGCCGAUGGCCAACCACUUAAACUCUGAAUGAAUCGUGUCAUAUGUCUAAGUCUAUGAUUAAAUUAAAGCAAAACUUUCAACAACGGAUCUCUUGGUUCUG